GACGAACGCUGGCGGCGUGCUUAACACAUGCAAGUCGAACGGAAAGGCCCUGCUUUUGUGGGGUGCUCGAGUGGCGAACGGGUGAGUAACACGUGAGUAACCUGCCCUUGACUUUGGGAUAACAUCAGGAAACUGGGGCUAAUACCGGAUAGGAGCUCCUGCUGCAUGGUGGGGGUUGGAAAGUUUCGGCGGUUGGGGAUGGAAUCGCGGCUUAUCAGCUUGUUGGUGGGGUAGUGGCUUACCAAGGCUUUGACGGGUAGCCGGCCUGAGAGGGUGACCGGCCACAUUGGGACUGAGAGACGGCCCAGACGCCUACGGGAGGCAGCAGUGGGGAAUAUUGCACAAUGGGCGGAAGCCUGAUGCAGCAACGCCGCGUGCGGGAUGACGGCCUUCGGGUUGUAAACCGCUUUCGCCUGUGACGAAGCGUGAGUGACGGUAAUGGGUAAAGAAGCACCGGCUAACUACGUG
rnacentral:rRNA from 1 species